rnacentral:rRNA from 1 species
UACGGAGGAUCCAAGCGUUAUCCGGAUUUAUUGGGUUUAAAGGGUGCGUAGGCGGCUUAUUAAGUCAGGGGUGAAAGACGGUGGCUCAACCAUCGCAGUGCCUUUGAUACUGAUGAGCUUGAAUACACUAGAGGUAGGCGGAAUGUGACAAGUAGCGGUGAAAUGCAUAGAUAUGUCACAGAACACCGAUUGCGAAGGCAGCUUACUAUGGUGUGAUUGACGCUGAGGCACGAAAAGCGUGGGGAUCAAACAGG